rnacentral:rRNA from 1 species
AUACGGAGGGUGCAAGCGUUAUGCGGAUUUACUGGGUUUAAAGGGUACGCAGGCGGUAAUUUAAGUCAGUGGUGAAAGCCUACAGCUCAACUGUAGAACUGCCAUUGAAACUGAAUUACUUGAGUAUGGUAGAGGUAGGCGGAAUACAACAUGUAGCGGUGAAAUGCAUAGAUAUGUUGUAGAACACCGAUUGCGAAGGCAGCUUACUAAACCAUUACUGACGCUCAUGUACGAAAGCGUGGGGAGCGAACAGGAUUAGAAACCCUAGUAGUCC